CCACAGGGAUGCUGGCCCAUGUUGACUCUACAAGGUGUUGAAAGCGUUCCACAGGGAUGCUGGCCCAUGUUGACUCUACAAGGUGUUGAAAGCGUUCCACAGGGAUGCUGGCCCAUGUUGACUCUACAAGGUGUUGAAAGCGUUCCACAGGGAUGAUGGCCCAUGUUGACUCUACAAGGUGUCGAAAGCGUUCCACAGGGAUGCUGGCCCAUGUUGACUCUACAAGGUGUUGAAAGCGUUCCACAGGGAUGCUGGCCCAUGUUGACUCUACAAGGUGUCGAAAGCGUUCCACAGGGAUGCUGGCCCAUGUUGACUCUACAAGGUGUUGAAAGCGUUCCACAGGGAUGCUGGCCCAUGUUGACUCUACAAGGUGUUGAAAGCGUUCCACAGGGAUGCUGGCCCAUGUUGACUCUACAAGGUGUUGAAAGCGUUCCACAGGGAUGCUGGCCCAUGUUGACUCUACAAGGUGUUGAAAGCGUUCCACAGGGAUGCUGGCCCAUGUUGACUCUACAAGGUGUUGAAAGCGUUCCACAGGGAUGCUGGCCCAUGUUGACUCUACAAGGUGUUGAAAGCGUUCCACAGGGAUGCUGGCCCAUGUUGACUCUACAAGGUGUUGAAAGCGUUCCACAGGGAUGCUGGCCCAUGUUGACUCUACAAGGUGUUGAAAGCGUUCCACAGGGAUGCUGGCCCAUGUUGACUCUACAAGGUGUUGAAAGCGUUCCACAGGGAUGCUGGCCCAUGUUGACUCUACAAGGUGUUGAAAGCGUUCCACAGGGAUGCUGGC